GGAGGGAUGGCCGAGUGGUCGAAGGCGGUCGACUCGAAAUCGAUUAGGCAGUGAGAACUGCCUCGUGGGUUCGAAUCCCACUCUCUCCGCCA
rnacentral:tRNA from 1 species